GACGUAGGGGGCGAGCGUUGUCCGGAUUUAUUGGGCGUAAAGAGCUCGUAGGCGGCUUGUCGCGUCGGCUGUGAAAACCCGCGGCUCAACUGUGGGCGGGCAGCUGAUACGGGCAGGCUGGAGUUCGGUAGGGGAGACUGGAAUUCCUGGUGUAGCGGUGAAAUGCGCAGAUAUCAGGAGGAACACCGGUGGCGAAGGCGGGUCACUGGCCCGGUACUGACGCUGAGGUGCGAAAGCGUGGGGAGCAAACAGG
rnacentral:rRNA from 1 species